GGACAUCUAUGCCUGGGUAUAGGACAUCAGCAAUCCGGCACAGAGAAAAGAAAACUAAAGAAAAUAAAACAGGCAUAAAGUUGUCUUGACAUUGGACUUUCUAGAGUCUCAAAUUUAGGGAAGGUCUCUAAAGUUACAUGUGAUAUUGUUAUACACUUUUCUAACGUCAGUAGCAUUUGAAGAGAAUGACUUACAGUCAUAAAAACAACUGUAAUUGUUCAUCUAGGUGACAGCUAUAAUGCACCAUUAAAUUAAAUGUUUGAUAUUUAUUAAAACAAACUGUAAGUCAUAUGUACAUUAUGCUACUUUUUCACAUGGGCUCAAAAGCAAAUUUGAAGCUCAAUAGCAUUUGAGGAAAAAGACUUGCAGUCAUAAACCAAUUGUAAUGUGUUCAUUUAGGUGUCAGCUACGAUGCACAACUUAUACAUUUUUUAUAUAUAUUAAAAUAAAGUGUUACUAAAGUUAUAUAUAUAUAUUGUUCUGUGUAUGUGAUUUCAAAGUCUAGACGGGUUGGAUUAACCCUUUAACUGCCAUAUCCCUUAAAAUUUGAUUGCCAGAGGGUUACUGUAAAUGCUUAUGCCCGCUGGGCACAGUUUUCCCGAUGCCACCGGGUGGUGUUG